GGAGGGGUGGCUGAGUGGUCGAAAGCACCGGUCUUGAAAACCGGCGACGGGCGACCGUCCCAGGGUUCGAAUCCCUGCCCCUCCGCCA
rnacentral:tRNA from 2 species